rnacentral:rRNA from 1 species
AGAGUUUGAUCAUGGCUCAGGACGAACGCUGGCGGCGUGCUUAACACAUGCAAGUCGAACGAACGCGCGAGGGCUUGCUCUCGAGCGUGAGUGGCGGACGGGUGCGUAACACGUGAGGAACAUACCCAUCGGCGGGGGAUAGCCGGCCCAACGGCCGGGUAAUACCGCGUACGACCUUUUGAGCGCAUGCUCGGGAGGUGAAAGCAGCAAUGCACCGGUGGAGUGCCUCGCGGCCUAUCAGCUUGUUGGUGAGGUAAUGGCUCACCAAGGCGACGACGGGUAGCUGGUCUGAGAGGAUGACCAGCCACAUUGGGACUGAGACACGGCCCAGACUCCUACGGGAGGCAGCAGUGGGGAAUAUUGCGCAAUGGCCGAAAGGCUGACGCAGCGACGCCGCGUGUGGGAUGAAGGUCCUCGGAUUGUAAACCACUGUCAGGAGGGACGAAGGCCCCGCAAGGGGAUUGACGGUACCUCCAAAGGAAGCACCGGCUAACUCCGUGCCAGCAGCCGCGGUAAUACGGAGGGUGCGAGCGUUGUCCGGAAUCACUGGGCGUAAAGGGCGCGUAGGCGGCCCGGUAAGUAGGGGGUGAAAUUCCACGGCUCAACCGUGGACCGGCCUCCUAGACUGUCGGGCUUGAGCACGGUAGAGGCAGAUGGAAUUCCCGGUGUAGCGGUGGAAUGCGUAGAUAUCGGGAAGAACACCAGUGGCGAAGGC